UUGUAAAUGUACAGUGUUUGUAAUGCCCGGCCCAUUUUAAAAGUAAGUGGAGCGGCCCUUCUGGCAAAUGCCUGAGCCGACAGAAGCCAGACCGCGAUGAAUGGGCUGGAAACCCUAGAGUGUUCUCUUCAGUUGGAGAAGAAUGUCAAUCCGUCUCUUCUGGAGCUGCAAAUAAUGAGGAGAAUGUAGGAAGCGGAGCUCACCAGUUCAGCGCCUUCGAAGCACGUCUCCCCUCCAGCGGCAUCCGGUGAAAACUCCACAGGCGCAUAAACUCCCGACUCUACACAGGACAGGAUUCAACAUAGUUCAACACUGCAGGCGCUCAGCCGAAAAAAAGUAGGAGGCGUAUGUUGCUUCAUCCAAUGUGGCUUUAUUAAAGCAAACAGCGUGACAUACAGUGGCAUGCAAUAGUGCAGAUCAGCCUACGCGUUUCGUGCCAAGAGCUACUGGCACUUCAUCAGAGCUGCACAGGCUUUCUACUGAGCACAAUGAUCCCCAUGUAAUUGUUGGUUACACAUCUAAGUACAGCUCUGUAUUCAUACAAAAUUUGUGCGACUUUCUGGAUAGCCAUUACCUUGUGAAUCUAUGUGAACAAGUGAAAUCUAUGAAGGAGCUUUGAGACCAUAUUACCAACCUGCGCCGGAUGGGUGCUCCCAGUAAUGGAAUAGCAGACAAACACAUUAGGGGAAAGCCACGAGUGACCCUCUUCCUUUUUCUUCUUUCCUUUAUGUUGCUGCUCCUCCUGUAGUUUAAUAAUAUCUGUUAUUUGGUUUCUUUGCUUUUUUUGACACCAAAGUAAUUCAAGAAAAAAAGUGUUUUCCUGUUUAUUGCCAAAUGCAAGUGAAAUAGCUAAAGUGAAUAUAAAUAGGGCAGUCCUAAGGUGGUACUAGGUAGUAAGGCACGCUCGCACAACUUAAACCGUCCCACUAAUACGAGAAGCUCAGUGAUAGAGGAAUUGGUGUCCUCAAAAGCCAGGAUAAAGCCAGAAGUUGGCAAAUUAAAAAAAUGUAUAAAAAAAAGAAAACAUGAAGACCAGUUGAAAAGUUGCCAAUAGGUCAAUCUAUCACAUACUAAAAUUUAGUAUUAGUUCUGUGCCAGUAAUAGAUUUUUAAUUACAUUCCAUAUAUGUUCUGUCAAACACUCCCUGCCUAAAGCAGUUGUUAUUUGACACCCCAUUAUUGCAAUUUAUUAAACAUUGGCACCUU